UCCGAUGAUGGGUGCUCGCUGCCGUAGGGCUCUGGGUCCGAACUCGAACCGUCAUUGGCGUUGUCAUUGAGGAGGUCAUGGACGGAUGCCGGGGCGUAGUCUAUCAUGCCGACGAAGACAUGGAUACGCGGAGCGUUGAUGAUGGCCUCUCGCAGCUUCCAUGAGUAAGCCUAGCUUGCGUUCUUCAAUCCGGUGGGGAAGCCUAUCGCGAUCUCGCGGCCGCGUUCCUUUGCCUGCUCUGAA
rnacentral:lncRNA from 1 species